rnacentral:rRNA from 1 species
GACGAACGCUGGCGGCAUGCUUGACACAUGCAAGUCGAACGGGCUGAUUCCUUCGGGAUGAAAGCUAGUGGCGAACGGGUGAGUAAUGUAUGAGUGACCUGCCUCUAUCUACGGGAUAACAUUAGGAAACAAUGUGCUAAUACGGUAUAAGACCACAGCACCGCAUGGUGCAGGGGUAAAAGAUUUAUCGGAUAGAGAUGGACUCAUAUCCCAUUACGCUAGUUGGUGAGAUAAUAGCCCACCAAGGCGACGAUGGGUAGCCGAGCUGAGAGGCUGAUCGGCCACACUUGUGAUACUGAGACACGGUCCAGACUCCUACGGGAGGCAGCAGUGGGGAAUAUUGGGCUAAUGGAGGCAACUCUGUACCCAGCACAUGCCGUCGUGAGCGAUGAAGGUCAUCGAUUGUAAAGCUCUUUUCCUAGGAACGAAACAAAUGACGGUACCUAGGGAAUAAGCCCCGGCUAACUACGUGCCAGCAGCCGCGGUAAUACGUAGGGGGCGAGCGUUGUCCGGAAUGACUGGGCGUAAAGGGUGCGUAGGUGGUUUAAUAAGUUAGAAGUGUAAUACCCAGGGCUUAACUCGGGUGCUGCUUCUAAAACUGUUAGGCUUGAGUGUAGUAGAGGAAAGCGGAAUUCAAUGUGUAGCGGUGGAAUGCGUAGAUAUAUUGAAGAACAUCAGUGGCGAAGGCGGCUUUCUGGACUAUAACUGACACUGAGGCACGAAAGCGUGGGGAGCAAACAGGAUUAGAUACCCUGGUAGUCCACGCCGUAAACGAUGGAUACUAGAUGCAGGAGGUAUUCACUCCUUCUGUGUCACAGCUAACGCAAUAAGUAUCCCGCCUGGGGAGUACGAUCGCAAGAUUAAAACUCAAAUGGAAUUGAAGGGGACCCGCACAAGCAGCGGAGCAUGUGGUAUAAUACGAAGCAACGCGAAAAACCUUACCCAGACUUGACAUCAGUAUGACUAUCAUAGAAAUAUGGUAUCUCGCAAGAGCAUACUGACAUGUGGUGCAUGUAGUCGUCAGCUCGUGUCGUGAGAUGUUAGGUUAAGUCCUGCAACGAGCG